GACGAACGCUGGCGGCGUGCUUAACACAUGCAAGUCGAACGGAAAGGCCCUGCUUUUGUGGGGUGCUCGAGUGGCGAACGGGUGAGUAACACGUGAGUAACCUGCCCUUGACUUUGGGAUAACUUCAGGAAACUGGGGCUAAUACCGGCUAGGAGCUCCUGCUGCAUGGUGGGGUUUGGAAAGUUUCGGCGGUUGGGGAUGGACUCGCGGCUUAUCAGCUUGUUGGUGGGGUAGUGGCUUACCAAGGCUUUGACGGGUAGCCGGCCUGAGAGGGUGACCGGCCACAUGGGGACUGAGGUACGGCCCAGACGCCUACGGGAGGCAGCAGUGGGGAAUAUUGCACAAUGGGCGGAAGCCUGAUGCAGCAACGCCGCGUGCGGGAUGACGGCCUUCGGGUUGUAAACCGCUUUAGCCUGUGACGAAGCGUGAGUGACGGUAAUGGGUAAAGAAGCACCGGCUAACUACGUG
rnacentral:rRNA from 1 species